rnacentral:lncRNA from 12 species
AUGAGUAUUUGCUACAUCACACAAAGAGGCAAUGAAUGUGUGCAGUUGUUCUUUUAUCUUUGUUUUCCCAGAAAGAAAACAAGUACCGAUCGUAUCUACUCGUCAGAUGACAAGGCAGCAGAACAACCAACCAUUAAAAAAAGAAAAGCUGCAAACAAAGCGUGUUCCACCUGCACCAAAGUGUUCCACCUGCACCAAAACCUCCAGCAAUUCCAAAAUGUAACAAAAAAGGAUGCAAAAUAUCUGUUCCGGUUGUACAUGGCUCUCAAGCAGUACAGAAGGCAGCAAGAACUGCUAUCAUUAUUGCCAGAGAGGAUCAAUCUGCAGGAAACUACAGGAAUGCCCAUGAUGUUUUGUUCAGCAUGUACACUGAGCUUUAGACACAGCACAUUAAAAUCCCAGCAGAGAUGGCCACAAACCUGAUGAUCCUGCACAGCUACAUAGUGAUGAAGGUGGGAAACACAUUCUCAUAUUUGCAGAAAAAUAGAAAAAUUAUUAUGAUAAAAAUGAAUGAAUGUUUUUGCAUAACAUUACAAAAUAUCAAACCAAGUGUCAUAUUACUACCGCUCAAAGGUUUGGUGUGGGUCAGUUUUUUUUUUUACAAUUAUUUUUAAAAGGUAAGAAUUUUUACAUCGUCACAAAAAUGUCUAUUUCAAAUAAAUGUGGUUCUUUGGUUCUUUCUUUAUCAUGGUUUCCACAAAAAUAUCAAAGUUAAUAGCAAGAAUGUUGAUAUUGAAGAAAUAGAUGAACAAAAAAAUAAUAAAAAAAUUUGAGCACCAAAUCAGCAUACUAGAAUGAUUACUUGAAAGAUCAUGAUGUGAUACUUAAGUAAUGGAGUAAUGGCUGCUGAAAUAUCAGCUUUACCAUCACAGGAAUGGAUUAUUUUUUAAAACAUGUUAAA